GACGAACGCUGGCGGCGUGCUUAACACAUGCAAGUCGAACGGAAAGGCCCUGCUUUUGUGGGGUGCUCGAGUGGCGAACGGGUGAGUAACACGUGAGUAACCUGCCCUUGACUUUGGGAUAACUUCAGGAAACUGGGGCUAAUACCGGAUAUGAGCUCCUGCUGCAUGGGGGGGGUUGGAAAGUUUCGGCGGUUGGUGAUGGACUCGAGGCUUAUCAGCUUGUUGGUGGGGUAGUGGGUUACCAAGGCUUUGACGGGUAGCCGGACUGCGAGGGUGACCGGCCACAUUGGGACUGAGAUACGGCCCAGACUGCUACGGGAGGCAGCAGUGGGGAAUAUUGCACAAUGGGCGGAAGCCUGAUGCAGCAACGCCGCGUGCGGGAUGACGGCCUUCGGGUUGUAAACCGCUUUCGCCUGUGACGAAGCGUGAGUGACGGUAAUGGGUAAAGAAGCACCGGCUAACUACGUG
rnacentral:rRNA from 1 species